GAGUUUGAUCAUGGCUCAGAACGUACGCUGGCGGCACGCCUAACACAUGCAAGUCGAACGAAGUAGCAAUACUUAGUGGCAGACGGGUGUGUAACAUGUAGGUAUCUGCCCUUUGGCCUGGAAUAACACGAGGAAACUUGUGCUAAUACCGGAUAAGUCUUUACGGAGAAAGCUUUAUGCACCAUUGGAUGAGCCUGCACUUGAUUAGUUUGUUGGUGGGGUAAUGGCCUACCAAGACUGUGAUCAAUAGCUGAUUUGAGAGGAUGAUCAGCCACAUUGGGACAGAGACACGGCCCAAACUCCUACGGGAGGCAGCAGUGGGGAAUCUUGCACAAUGGAGGAAACUCUGAUGCAGCGAUGCCGCGUGAGUGAAGAAGGCCUUUGGGUUGUAAAGCUCUUUCGUCGGGGAAGAAAAUGACUGUACCCGAAUAAGAAGGUCCGGCUAACUUCGUGCCAGCAGCCGCGGUAAUACGAAGGGACCUAGCGUAGUUCGGAAUUACUGGGCUUAAAGAGUUCGUAGGUGGUUGAAAAAGUUGGUGGUGAAAUCCCAGAGCUUAACUCUGGAACUGCCAUCAAAACUUUUCAGCUAGAGUAUGAUAGAGGAAAGCAGAAUUUCUAGUGUAGAGGUGAAAUUCGUAGAUAUUAGAAAGAAUACCAAUUGCGAAGGCAGCUUUCUGGAUCAUUACUGACACUGAGGAACGAAAGCAUGGGUAGCGAAGAGGAUUAGAUACCCUCGUAGUCCAUGCCGUAAACGAUGUGUGUUAGACAUUGGAAAUUUAUUUUCAGUGUCGCAGCGAAAGCGAUAAACACACCGCCUGGGGAGUACGACCGCAAGGUUAAAACUCAAAUGAAUUGACGGGGACCCGCACAAGUAGUGGAGCAUGUGGUUUAAUUCGAAGAUACGCGUAGAACCUUACCAACACUUGACAUGUUCGUCGCGACUUUAAGAGAUUAAAGUUUUCGGUUCGGCCGGACGAAACACAGGUGCUGCAUGGCUGUCGUCAGCUCGUGUCGUGAGAUGUUGGGUUAAGUCCCGCAACGAGCGCAACCCUCACUUUUAGUUGCCAUCAUUAAGUUGGGCACUCUGAAAGAACUGCCAGUGAUAAGCUGGAGGAAGGUGGGGAUGACGUCAAGUCCUCAUGGCCCUUACGUGUUGGGCUACACACGUGCUACAAUGGUAUCUACAACAGGAAGCAAGACUGCGAGGUCAAGCAAAUCCUUAAAAGAUACCUCAGUUCGGAUUGCACUCUGCAACUCGAGUGCAUGAAGCUGGAAUUACUAGUAAUCGUGGAUCAGCGUGCCACGGUGAAUGCGUCCCCGGGUCUUGUACACACCGCCCGUCACACCAUGGGAGUUGGUUCUACCUUAAGGCAAGGUUUAAUACCCUUGACCACGGUAUAGUCAGCGACUGGGGUGAAGUCGUAACAAGGUAACC
rnacentral:rRNA from 1 species